rnacentral:lncRNA from 1 species
UUUUCGUAGUCGUAUGUGCAAGUUUACUGAGCGCCAAAUGGAAAGCGUGAUCACCGUGAUAAUAGGCUUCGUCUUUUCGUUCAUAAUAGGCGAUAUAUGCUGCACAAAUGGCAAUGAUAAGGACGCAGACAAGCUGUUGAAGCUAAAUGCGAAAUAUGGCUUGUCUAAUGAAACUGGCGAUUCCUUUCUUAAAUUACCUUGUGACUGUAUAACAAUGGAAACCACCGGAGGGUUUACUUCUCCAUACGACGUAUUUAUUGACUGCGCUAACAAGACACAAGGGACCAAUCAACCAGUUCAAUCUCGGAAAGAAAAGUGGGAAACAUUACUGUAUACAGCAACCACGUCGGCUUCUAAAGGUUCAUCUGUGAAUGACACCAUUUAUUUUACGCCUGACAACACUAAUGAGAUCAUGCCGCAUGGCAACGCGAUGUCAUAUAUAUUACUGUUUACUGAUUAUACCAGUUGUUUCGUUCUCACAGCCUCAACUGCUUCUGACAAAAAAAGUGAGUUCUGAGUAGUACUUUCAAUGGCUAUU